rnacentral:rRNA from 1 species
AACUAUAACGGUCCUAAGGUAGCGAAAUUCCUUGUCAGGUAAGUUCUGACCCGCACGAAAGGCGUAAUGAUUUGAACACUGUCUCAACAAUGUACCCGGCGAAAUUGUAGUACUAGUGAAGAUGCUAGUUACCUGCGACAAGACAGAAAGACCCCAUGGAGCUUUACUGCAGCUUGAUACUGGGUUUUGGUAAUUUAUGUACAGGAUAGGUGGGAUACUAAGAAGCAAGUGCGCCAGCAUUUGUGGAGUAGACGUUGGGAUACCACUCUUAAAUUAUUGAAAUUCUAACCUGUGAUCAUGAACUGGUCAGGGGACAAUGUCAGGCGGGCAGUUUGACUGGGGCGGUCGCCUCCUAAAGAGUAACGGAGGCGCCCAAAGGUUUCCUCAGCACGGACAGAAAUCGUGCGAAAGAGUGUAAAGGCAGAAGGAAGCUUAACUGGGAGACUGACAAGUCGAGCAGAUACGAAAGUAGGGCUUAGUGAUCCGGCGGUAGUGAGUGGAAAUGCCGUCGCUCAACGGACAAAAGUUACCCUGGGGAUAACAGGCUUAUCUCCCCCAAGAGUUCACAUCGACGGGGAGGUUUGGCACCUCGAUGUCGGCUCAUCGCAUCCUGGAGCGGAAGUACGUUCCAAGGGUUGGGCUGUUCGCCCAUUAAAGCGGUACGCGAGCUGGGUUCAGAACGUCGUGAGACAGUUCGGUCCCUAUCUGUCGUGGGCGUAGGAAGUUUGAGGAGAGCUGCCCUCAGUACGAGAGGACCGGGGUGGACAGACCAAUGGUGCACCAGUUGUCACGCCAGUGGCACAGCUGGGUAGCUAAGUCUGGAAGGGAUAAACGCUGAAGGCAUCUAAGCGUGAAGCCCCCUCCAAGAUGAGACUUCCCAUUUCGAAGGAAAGUAAGACCCCUCUAAGACGAAGAGGUUGAUAGGUCAGGGGUGUAAGCAUGGCGACAUGCUGAGCUGACUGAUACUAAUAGGUCGAGGGCUUAACCUA